rnacentral:rRNA from 1 species
AUUGAACGCUGGCGGCAGGCCUAACACAUGCAAGUCGAACGAGUGGCGGACGGGUGAGUAAUGUCUGGGAAACUGCCUGAGGGAGGGGGAUAACUACUGGAAACGGUAGCUAAUACCGCAUACCAUCUGAUAUGCCCAGAUGGGAUUAGCUAGUAGGUGGGGUAACGGCUCACCUAGGCGACGAUCCCUAGAUGGUCUGAGAGGAUGACCAGCCACACUGGAACUGAGACACGGUCCAGACUCCUACGGGAGUCAGCAGUGGGGAAUAUUGCACAAUGGGCGCGAGCCGGAUGCAGCCAUGCCGCGUGUAUGAAGAAGGCCUUCGGGUUGUAAAGUACUUUCACCGGGGAGGCGUUACUCGCAGAAGAAGCACCGGCUAACUCCGUGCCAGCAGCCGCGGUAAUUC